ACCUCUGCAAUAGGCGAAAGCUUGACAGGGUUACUCUGAGUGAUUUCCGUUAAGGAAAUCUUUUGGCACCUCUAAAAAUGGUGCAGAAUAAGGGGUGGGCAAGUCUGGUGUCAGCCGCCGCGGUAAUACCAGCACCCCGAGUGGUCGGGACGUUUAUUGGGCCUAAAGCAUCCGUAGCCGGUUCUACAAGUCUUCCGUUAAAUCCAACUGCUUAACAGGUGGGCUGCGGAAGAUACUAUAGAGCUAGGAGGCGGGAGAGGCAAGCGGUACUCGAUGGGUAGGGGUAAAAUCCGUUGAUCCAUUGAAGACCACCAGUGGCGAAGGCGGCUUGCCAGAACGCGCUCGACGGUGAGGGAUGAAAGCUGGGGGAGCAAACCGGAUUAGAUACCCGGGUAGUCCCAGCUGUAAACGAUGCAGACUCGGUGAUGAGUUGGCUAYAUGCCAUCUCAGUGCCGCAGGGAAGCCGUUAAGUUUGCCGCCUGGGGAGUACGGUCGCAAGACUGAAACUUAA
rnacentral:rRNA from 1 species